rnacentral:miRNA from 2 species
GGGCCGACCCUGAGGGUCAGGUGAGGCCCUUAGGGCACAGCAGUGCCAUCUCCCCUGUGCUCCCAGGGCCUCUCCUGUCCCUCGAGGUCGGCCC